rnacentral:rRNA from 1 species
GAGUUUGAUCCUGGCUCAGGACGAACGCUGGCGGCGCGCCUAACACAUGCAAGUCGAACGGAGCUGAGAGGAGCUUGCUUUUCUUAGCUUAGUGGCGAACGGGUGAGUAACGCGUGAGUAACCUGCCCUGGAGUGGGGGACAACAGUUGGAAACGGCUGCUAAUACCGCAUAAGCCCACGACCCGGCAUCGGGUAGAGGGAAAAGGAGCAAUCCGCUUUGAGAUGGCCUCGCGUCCGAUUAGCUAGUUGGUGAGGUAAUGGCCCACCAAGGCGACGAUCGGUAGCCGGACUGAGAGGUUGAACGGCCACAUUGGGACUGAGACACGGCCCAGACUCCUACGGGAGGCAGCAGUGGGGAAUAUUGCACAAUGGGGGAAACCCUGAUGCAGCGACGCCGCGUGAAGGAAGAAGUAUCUCGGUAUGUAAACUUCUAUCAGCAGGGAAGAUAAUGACGGUACCUGACUAAGAAGCCCCGGCUAACUACGUGCCAGCCGCCGCGGUAAUUC